GUUUUCUGAAAUCUUGUCUGUUUCCUCGGUGACUUCCAGGCUCUCCCAGCCCUGGAAGGGGAAUGGUGACGUCUCUUGACAGAGUUGAGACUCCCACCCUGGUUUCCUGAAGUCUAGAACAUGUGUGCUUCAACCCCAAGCAAGACUUGCCUCUGCAAAAUCAGGGACUUCAAAAAAGAGCUAGGACAAGUUCCACUGUGGAUGGCAAGGAGAUGAGGGGGCAGCAACCUGUUAACGAGACUCAAGGAUGUCAAGACCCAUUUUUGUUAUCUGGAUUUUCAAGGCCAAGUUCAAAUGUGAGGAUCCUGGAAAGGUUGGCAGACGUCUGCUGAAGCUACCCUCUCUUUUGUAAAAGUCCACAGAUGAGAAGUGGCUGUAGUACAUAAACCUGUGGACAGCUCUUCUUGUACUGUCACCCACUCUCAUAGCUAACCACCCUCAGGCACCCUCUUAUCUCUGCUCACACAGUCCCCACCUGAAAUGCCUAACCUGCUAACUCUACCCAGUGAAAGUCUGUGAAUCCUGCAAGGUAUGUCUGCAAUGCCUCCUUUCUUCUGCUCAUUCCUUCCACAGACAUGUAUUGUACAUGCCUUGGGUGCUCAAUGGCAGUCUCUGGAUUCCCCAAAUAGUACAGCGGUUUCUUUUAGCCCUUCCCAUUGCACUUUUCAAGGGCAUUUGCUUUUGGCAUUCAAAUUUGUGUCUAGUACAUAGUGGAGACCUGGUUACAGAAAUAUUGCAGUAGUGAAAACAAUAUCUGAUAUCCAUGGGCUUGAAAUUUACCCUCUGCAAGUGUAACUGGAGGAAAAUACAGGAGUCACCAACUAUGUGCAGUUACUGAAAUUCAAAUUAGUUGAAAUAAAAUAAAACUAAAAAUACAAACCCUUGUUCUCACAGACCACAUUUCGGGUGCUCAGUAGCUACAUGUGGCUGUGACU